CUUGACAUCCAGAGAAUUUAGCAGAGAUGCUUUAGUGCCUUCGGGAACUCUGAGACAGGUGCUGCAUGGCUGUCGUCAGCUCGUGUUGUGAAAUGUUGGGUUAAGUCCGCAACGAGCGCAACCCUUUAUCCUUUGUUGCCAGCACGUAAUGGUGGGAACUCAAAGGAGACUGCCGGUGAUAAACCGGAGGAAGGUGGGGAUGACGUCAAGUCAUCAUGGCCCUUACGAGUAGGGCUACACACGUGCUACAAUGGCGUAUACAAAGAGAAGCGACCUCGCGAGAGCAAGCGGACCUCAUAAAGUGCGUCGUAGUCCGGAUUGGAGUCUGCAACUCGACUCCAUGAAGUCGGAAUCGCUAGUAAUCGUAAAUCAGAAUGUUACGGUGAAUACGUUCCCGGGCCUUGUACACACCGCCCGUCACACCAUGGGAGUGGGUUGCAAAAGAAGUAGAUAGCUUAACCUUCGGGAGGGCGUUUACCACUUUGUGAUUCAUGACUGGGGUGAAGUCGUAACAAGGUAAGCGUAGUGCU
rnacentral:rRNA from 1 species